GGAAUAUUGCACAAUGGGGGAAACCCUGAUGCAGCCAUGCCGCGUGUGUGAAGAAGGCCUUCGGGUUGUAAAGCACUUUCAGUAGGGAGGAAAGGGUGUAGCUUAAUACGCUAUAUCUGUGACGUUACCUACAGAAGAAGGACCGGCUAACUCCGUGCCAGCAGCCGCGGUAAUACGGAGGGUCCGAGCGUUAAUCGGAAUUACUGGGCGUAAAGCGUGCGCAGGCGGUUUGUUAAGCGAGAUGUGAAAGCCCUGGGCUCAACCUAGGAAUAGCAUUUCGAACUGGCGAACUAGAGUCUUGUAGAGGGGGGUAGAAUUCCAGGUGUAGCGGUGAAAUGCGUAGAGAUCUGGAGGAAUACCGGUGGCGAAGGCGGCCCCCUGGACAAAGACUGACGCUCAUGCACGAAAGCGUGGGGAGCAAACAGGAUUAGAUACCCGAG
rnacentral:rRNA from 1 species